rnacentral:tRNA from 1 species
CGGGGAGUAGCGCAGCCUGGUAGCGCGCUGUGUUCGGGACGCAGAGGUCGUGGGUUCAAAUCCCGCCGCCCCGACCA